AUUGAACGCUGGCGGCAUGCCUUACACAUGCAAGUCGAACGGUAACGGGCCUUCGGGUGCCGACGAGUGGCGAACGGGUGAGUAAUGCAUCGGAACGUACCUUUCAGUGGGGGAUAACGUAGCGAAAGUUACGCUAAUACCGCAUAUUCUGUGAGCAGGAAAGCAGGGGAUCGCAAGACCUUGCGCUGAUUGAGCGGCCGAUGUCAGAUUAGCUAGUUGGUGAGGUAAAGGCUCACCAAGGCGACGAUCUGUAGCGGGUCUGAGAGGAUGAUCCGCCACACUGGAACUGAGACACGGUCCAGACUCCUACGGGAGGCAGCAGUGGGGAAUUUUGGACAAUGGGGGAAACCCUGAUCCAGCCAUGCCGCGUGAGUGAAGAAGGCCUUCGGGUUGUAAAGCUCUUUCGGCCGGGAAGAAAUCGUAUGGGUUAAUACCCUGUGCGGAUGACGGUACCGGCAUAAGAAGCACCGGCUAACUACGUG
rnacentral:rRNA from 1 species